rnacentral:lncRNA from 1 species
UAAACUCGUAAAACGAGAGAAAAGUAACGGUGAAACUUACUUAAUAAUCGCACAGUCGACCUUACAAGUAACGAAGAACUUCCAAUUAACGUAGAAUGUGAUACCGUAAAAGGAAAAAAAUAAAAGAAUGGAAGGAGAACAAAAAAAAAUAACUUUUGAAAACAAAGAAGAAAGCAUGAUAGAAAUUCUUCAGAUUAUUUUAAAUUAAUCAGCAC